CACAUUUCUUAUCCCCGCACCACCGCGUGUGAGCUCAUGUUGACCACAUUCUGCUGGGUGCCCAAGGGGGCUAUGAAGGCUACCCCAAUCCUGUCCACGGACACUGCUGAGCAGGCACGCUUGAAGCUGCGCCAUCAGCACCCCGAAUACAUCGAGGAAGAGCAGCAGCAGAGGGAUUCCAAGAAGACUCGGGCCACCAGCGAGGAGGCGGAGAACGAGGACGACGACGUCGAUGAUGACGACGAGGACGGCCUGAACGCGAACGUCGACGAAACACUGCGCGUCUUUGCCGGUGGUGGGCCUGGCGCUCUGCUGGAGGAGGUGGAGUCGGACGACGAGGAGGAGCUGGAGGACACCACCUUGAAGCCGACGGAUCUCGUCUUCACCGUGGCGUGCGCCGAUGCACAGGCCCCGCGGCUGGAGAUGUACGUCUACGACGAACCGGAGGAUAACAUGUACGUGCACCAUGACAUGGAGAUUGCGGCGUUCCCGCUCUGCAGCUCGUGGCUGACAGACGGCACCAUGUCCAUGCUGGCGGUGGGGACCAUGCUGCCCUUUAUCGAGAUUUGGGCCUUGGAUGUGAUGGACUCUGUCGAGCCCGCGAUCAUCCUCGGCGGGUGCGAGCGGCGGUCGCAUAACUACUCCAAAAGGAUGCUGAAGCGGAACUUGAAGGCGGACUCGCACACGGAAGCGGUCCUCUCAGUGAAGUGGAACACAGUUGCGCAGAACAUCUUCGCCUCCGGCAGCGCCGAUCGCACCAUCAAGCUGUGGGACCUCAACCAAGGCGGUGUCUGCCUCGGUACUUACAGCGAGCUGGAGAAGGUGCAGUCGCUUGACUGGCACGCGACAGAGGCGAACCUACUUCUCUCGGGCGGCUUCGAUGCGAGCAUGGUGCUUCGUGAUUGCCGCCAGCCGGACCAGACAGCGCAGCGCUACGGACUGCCAGGCAUCAUCGAGCAUGUCGAAUUUGUUCCCUCGGCCGGUGCAGCCGCAGCAUCCGCACCUGUCGUAAUGGCGUCGACGAGCGGGGGCCAUUGGGCUGCGUUCGAUACACGCAUGGCAAGCAGCAAUGCGGGUCACAGCCCAGUCACCUCACUCUGGCAGCUGCAGCCGCACCAGGCCGACAUGACGUUUAGCUGCUCUCGACAGGUCCCAGGCCUGUUCGCGACGGGCGGAAAGGAGGGCGAGAUCGCGCUGUGGGAUGGGCGAGACAGCAGCGCCGCUCCGAAGAUGGUUGUCUCGCGCAGCUACAAGACGGGCUCGGUGCUCUCUCUCAGCUUUCACCCAAACUCGCCACACAUCUUGGGUGCAGGUGGCGCCUCCGGCGCACCGCUGGUGUACACCAUCACCUCUGACAUCUACGACGUCUUUCGGUAGGUGACAGAAGGGAAGAAAGAUGCGGGAUUCGGUUAUGAGUAGCGGGAGGACGGAUGCCUGCGUGGGCUCAAGGCGGUGAAUCCAGUCCUCAUCACGAUUAAGCGACCGCGGCAGGUCGCCUCCGCUCAGCCUCCUCUUCCCCUUUCUCCCACACACUGCACACCGCUGCAGAUAUCGUCGCCUUCCUCCGCUUCCCUCUCGUCAUUCUCGCGAUUUUCUACUGCCGUGCAAGCCAGCAGAUAGCUACACGCACGUACGCACGUGUAGGCGUAGUUUUGCAGACACGCGUGCCAGGGGACGUGCCGUAUGCGUGCGGCGGCAGCCUUGCUAAUGUGGCGCGCUUUUUCUUGCGCGUGUCUCUGCAUGCAACCGCAUCGCCGUUUUUGUGAGCCUGCUCGGCUUUGGUGCGUCACUGCGCCCGUGCGAGCCACGCUCCGGAUCGCUGUUCUUCCCCGUCUCACCUACGUGGUCGGUGUAUGGGGGCGAGAUCACCCUCACCGGGGGUGUGCGUAUGCAUGUGAGGGGGCAUGGCUAGUGGAUAGUGGCGAGGAAGAGAGGAAGGUACGGAAAAGAGGCCAAUGAUGAUGGCUUGAUGGACGGUGGGGGAGUGCUGCCAUUGCUGUUGUUGAGGCAGGAGGUGCUAACGGUUAAACUCCAAGUCUAUUAAGUGCGGAAGGGACGCGCGCGCGCACACACACAGUCGACGACAGCCGCAACCACCGGCAUACACGAGAAUGAAGCCCGUUUGGAAGAGCAGGUGGUUUCGCCAGCGAGUUCCCCCCCCCCCCCCCCGUACGCGUGUCUGCCGCAUGCGGAAGUGAUGAGGGGAGCGUGAGGCGCCGGCCUGCUUUGCCACGAUCGCCUCGCCGAUCCCUCUCCGGCCUCGUCUUUAUCCACAUUUCUCUUGUUGGCUCGUUUGACUUCAGGGUGAAGAGAGGAAGAGAGAGACUCACACUGAAACACCCUUCACACAUCGUGUGCUUCUAUAUGUAUAUGUGUGUGUGUGUGUGCGUGUUUGUGUGGGCCUCUCUCCCCACCUUCCGAGACACCGACGUACCCUCUCGCCUAAGCUCGCCUGAAUCUUUCUCCCCGCCAUGCUCACCGUCUGUGAUGAAGUCUUCCCUAUACUCCUUCUCCUCUCUGCACUAUUCACGCUUCUCAUUCUUUUCCACACGCACACACAAACCACCGCCGCCCGCUCUCCUGUGAUCACUGUGCCCGACGCCCUCCCUUUCCACUGUGCAG
rnacentral:misc_RNA from 1 species